GAGACUCCGAAAUACUCUGUCUAUUCCUUCAUCUUCUUCUUUCUCGUUUCUUCAUCUUCAUUUGAAUCAAUAUAGGAGUUUUUAUCGUCAACAUCCCCCCUCAAAAUGGAGAGGAGAGAAUGGACCCCAAGCUUUCCCAGAAUAUAACGAUGAGAAACCCCAGAUAAGGGUUUUGUGAAUAAAUCGGCAAGUUGGCAGUCGGAUGGAACAAACGAUAGGGAAAUUAAACCAGAGAGAAAUUGUUGAAACAAACAAAGUGGCAGUCGAGGUCCACAUGCUUCGUUCGCUCAUGAAAGACACGGUGGUUCCAAGCGAUGUGAAUCGUUGUAUGCUAUCAGAAUGAAUAGGGACUGGAAAGGUAGGCUGUACAGUCAGAUCUCCCAAAAGUCGAACAAGCCAAGUGAUUUCAGCCGUGACUCGACACAUCGAUCGGUAUUCAGCCUCUGCAGAUGACAAGGAAACUGAAGCAUGUUUCUUGGAUUUCCAGGAAAUAGGUGCACCACCAAGCGUAACCAUCGAGAAUCAUGACACGCUGCUCAAUCAGCAUUGCAAAAUUCCAGCAAAUCAAAAGAGGGAGAAGAAGACAGAAGAAUCCUCUUCUAAGGAUUUGUACGCAAAUAGCUCAAGAGUCAUUGAGUAGCAGAGAAAUGGGAAGAACAGGGUUGGUGCAUGUAUUGACUUAGAGGGAGAACAACAAAUGAGAGGCUAGGCCUAGUGUUCGUCAAAUAGUUGAGUUACCAACGAGGUGACGAUAGAGACUUGGGUCAUCCAUUGAUGUCCCUGAAUUCGCCUAAAUCUUGAUGGAAGGAUCAAGAGGUGAAGAAACCUUGCCACCUGGAGAAUUGAACUCCUGCAGCAGCUCUAAGGUAAAUUUCCUUUGGCUGACAAUGAAGCCCUGUUUUUCACUGAGUAUUUCCAUCCUUAGAAAAUAAUGAAUAGCACCCAAAUGUUUCACUUCGAACUCAGAAUUGAGAAAACCGGUAAUGUGUUGAAUUUCUAUUGCAUCAUCCCCUCUUAAUAGGAUGUCAUACACAUAAACUUUUAGUAUAGACACCAGAUCACCAUUACAUUUGAAAAAGAGAGAAUAGUCAUUUAGAGAACUAGAAUGCCCUUUAAUACUCAAAGCUCCUAAAAGUCUAGCAUACCACUGUCUAGAUGCAUGUUUCAACCCAUAAAGAGACUUUUUUAAGAGACAAACUUGAUUAGUAUGGGGUGGAGUAAUACCUUUUGGGAACUUCAUAUAGACUUUUUCUUGCAAUUCCCCAUGGAGGAAUAUAUUGUUAACAUCAAGUUGUGACACUUCCCAACCUUUCUUCAUAGCCACAUCUAAAAGAAACCUUAUGGUGGUCAUUUUGACCACUGGAGAAAAUAUUUCAAAGUAGUCAAUUCCUUCUCUUUGAAUAUCCCAUCUCACUACUAGGCUAGCUUUUAAUCUCUCCACAGUUCCAUCUGAAUAGUGCUUUACCUUGUAUACCCACUUACAAGGCAGAGCUUUCUUUUUGGAGGUAAAUCUACCACAUCCCAGGUGUGAUUCAGCUGUAAGGCUGAAAUUUCUGCAUCCAUGGCAGCCUUUCACCCUGGGUGAUUGCAAGCUUGAUCAUAGCUGCUAGGUUCAGAGAUAGUGGAUAGGGAUUGAACUAGUUGUUUAUUUGUAGCAGAGAGGGUCCCAAAAGAGAAACAUUCGGAAUGGAUGGCUGACUAAAACAAGAAUCUAUGAGAUUUGUGAGAAUGAUGGCAUUGCACACAUAGUCUUUUAAAUAGCUAGGUGCCUGAGAAAUUCUCUCAGACUUUCUGACAGGUGGUGGAGGUGUGGGAAUGACAUAUCUGGAUGCUGGGUGAAUAGGUGAAAGAGGAAGAGUUGAGGAUUCAUCUAGGAGUGGUGUAGGAUCCGAUGAAAUGUGAGGGAAUGGGUGUGUGGUUCUAAGAAAAAGAGGGUUAUUACUAGUAGGUGUUGAAGGAAUCCUUGAGGGAGAUGAUUGUGGUGAGACCUCAAGUUCUUUCUGAUGUACAAGACCUUCAGGAAUAAAAUCUGAGGAGAAGGUAGGAGAAUGUGGAUAGUAGGUGGAUGAGUGAGAUGAAUGAAAAAGAAAAACUUCUUCAUGAAACAUGAUGUCCUUGGAUACAAAUACCAUUCUUGUAUCCAUGUCCAAUACCUUGUAGCCCUUUUUACCUUGAGCAUAUCUUAGGAACACACCACAUUUAGCUCUAGGAUCAAAUUUACUUCUAUUUUAAGAUAGAGUUGAUGUUAGUAAGCGUCAAUACCACACAAGAGGGGGGGUGAUCCGUGUGGUACCUAAUUUCCGCGUUAGAAGAACCUGGUUCUUCUAAGUGUUCUAACUACAGCAGUUUGUGGAAUAAUAAGAACUGAAAGUAAAGUGCACAGAGAUUUUUUACGUGGAAAACACCUUGCUCAACAGGUGAAAAAACCAGGAUCUACUACUCAGUAGGAUUUUCCCAAAUUCCACUAAAAAUUAAUGAGCCAAACAAUAUUUACCAAGACUUUUUGUAAACCUAAGGAUUCAACUCUAACCCCAGUGUGGCAGCCAGCCUCUAGCUGUUGCCACAACUUCAAGUUAAACUCUAACUUAAAUACUCAAAUACCUAUUACAAUUGCUUCUAUGAAAUCUGAAAGGUACAAUAUGAAAACACCAACUACAAUUGAACUAGAAAUAAAGGAUAAGUUUUGAAGAUUGACAAAAGAACUCAGGAUGAACCAGGUCCAUCCCAGUGGUCCAUCUCUCAAGUUCAUAAUAAAGGAAGAUUCAAGCAUGUGGGAUGCACAUGAAGGAGAUAAGCUUAACUUGCUGUAUUUAAUAUCUCCUGAUCAAAAAUGUUGCAUAAUUUAUAAGGAGAAGGACUCCUUAAUCAAAGAGAACACUAUCCAAGAUAGGGAAGGAAUUAGAAGUUGAAAUCAACUAGAACUCUUCCACCAAGGAAGUACCCUAGUUAUUUCUUCAUCUACUAACUCUAUAAAUUGCAGGGUGUUCUCAUAUUAAAGGUGUUGCACAAAAACGCAUAAGUUAAACGUGAAUUUGGAGCAAAAUAGCAAGGCUUUUUGCAAGCAGUACGUGUGUAAUUCAAGAGUGCCAACCAGAAGCUACAUGAACCAGAUUGAAUAACAAGUUCCAUAAAGAGUGUUAUGUGUUUUUCUUUAUUUCUAGUUCAAUUGUAGUAGGUGUUUUCAUAUUGUGCCUUUCACCUUUCAUAGAAGCAAUUGUAAUAGGUAUUUGAGUAUUCAAGUUAGAGUUUAACUUGAAGUUGUUGCAACAGUUAGAGGCUAGUUUCCACACUAGCAUUAGAGUUUAAUCCUUAGUUUACAAAGAGUCAUUGUAAAUGUUAUUUGGCUCAUUGAUUUUUAGUGGAGUUUGGAAAAAUCCUACUGAGUAGUAGGUCGUGGUUUUUUUCACCUUUUGAGCUAGGUGUUUUCCACGUGAAAAUCUUUGUGCACUUUACUUUCAGUUCUUAUUAUUCUGCAAACUGUUGUAGUUAGAACACUUAGAAGAACUAGGUUCUUCUAAUGAGAAAAUUAGGUACCACACAAAUCACUCCCCCCCCCCCCCUUGUGUGGUAUUGACGUUUAUUAACAUCAAUGGUAUCAGAGCAGCUUAUCCUUGAAGAGGCUAACACCUUAGGAAAAGAUCAAAAUGAGUGAACCACCUGGAAACUGGGAAGAGCAAUCCACUGAUAGGCCUCCACUCUUUAAUGGCCACUACUACUCUUGGUAGAAAAACAGGAUGAGAGAUCAUAUCAUCGAAGAAGAAUAUCAGCUAUAGUACAUUGUCAUUGAUGGUCCCUGGCUACCAUGAAGAAGAAUGCAGAAGUGAGAGAUCACAUCAUUGGAGAAGACUAUAAGCUAUGGGGCAUUGUCACUCAUGGUCCCCUAGCUACCAUGAAGAAGAAUGUUGAAGGAGUAGAUGUGCCAAAACAAGAGCCGACUGCAAUGCUGAGGACUUGAGAAAAUGGGAAAAGAAUGCUAAUGCCGAAAAAUGACUUGUGUGUAGACUUGGUCCAGACGAGUACAAUAGUAUUCAAAGUCGUACCACUACCAAGGAAAUAUGGGACACUUUACAAGUGGCUCAUGAAAGAACAUCUCAAGUAAACAGAUCAAGAGGAACAUUGUUGUAUUAUCAAUAUGAGAAUUUCACCAUAGAGGUAAGGGAAACCAUCCAGGAGAUGUAUACAAGGUUCACCAUACUGACAAAUGAACUUAAGUCUCUUGGAAGGGUUAUUCUUAAAGAGGAAGAGUUGAGAAAAUUUUUACAAGGGUUUUGCCAGUCACUUGGGAAAGAAAAUUCAUUGCCAUUCAGGAAUCAAAGAGCGUUGCCACUCAUAAGUUGGACGAGCUAAUUGGAAAUCUCACAGCCUAUGAACUUAGAAGGCAAACCAGAAAGAUGGAUGCACCCAAGAAAGAAAGGAGCAUGGCAUUCAAAAUCACUAAAGGUGUUGAUCUAGAGGAGGAUGAAAUGACCAUGAUCACAAAGGAAUUCAAGAAGUACUUAAUGAGAGGAAAUGUUCCUUCAAGAAGUGGAAGCUUCAGCAAACCAAGGUUUCCUGAAAAACAAACAUAUGAGGGGUGUUACAAGUGUGGGAAGACUGAUCACCACAUUACAAACUGCCUUCAAUGGGAAAUUGAAUAGAAGAAGGAAAGAGCUGAACGAAGGAACAAGAAGAAGGAAUAUGUUCAACUCAAGAAGAACAAAGGAUCAACAAAGGCUAAAGAUGUAUUAUUUGACAUAUUUACUUCUUUUGUUAGAAAAACUCAGAAACAACUAGGUAAUCAACUUGCAUCAAUUAGGUAUGAUCAUGGAACUGAAUUUGAAAAUGCCAAGUUUACUAAAUUUUUGCAUAAUACAUUAUAAAUAGUUGUAUGACUAGACCUCUUAUUAAGAAGAUUCCCUAUGAGUCACUUAAAGGGAGAAACUAAAUAUAUCCCAUCUAAGGGAAUUUAAAUGCAAAUACUUUGUGCACAAUAAUGGCAAAGAUUCCCUAUGUAAAAUUUGAUUCCGAAGUGAUGAGGGAGUAUUCUUGGGAUAUUAUGCACCUAGAAAAGCAUAUGAAGUGUACAACAAAAUAACUAUGUAUGUAGAAGAAAGUAUACAUGUAAUUUUGAUGAAACUAACAUUCUUUCUGAGAGACAGGAACAUGAAGAUGAAGUUAUUGGGCUAGUAAGAAAUUUAAAUGAAAUCGCAGCCCAGACUGAAGCUGCACCAGAAGAAGGAACAGGUUCUUCCACCCAGGGCAACAUGACAGGGGGAACUGACUAAAGAGGAAUUGAUCCUCAAACCUCGAGGGAAC
rnacentral:lncRNA from 1 species